rnacentral:rRNA from 1 species
GAAAGAUGAAUCAAAGAAGGUAAUAAUCCUGUAGUCGAAAAUGUUGUCUCUCUUGAGUGGAUCCUGAGUACGACGGAGCACGUGAAAUUCCGUCGGAAUCUGGGAGGACCAUCUCCUAAGGCUAAAUACUCUCUAGUGACCGAUAGUGAACCAGUACCGUGAGGGAAAGGUGAAAAGCACCCCGGAAGGGGAGUGAAAUAGAACCUGAAACCGUGUGCUUACAAGUAGUCAGAGCCCGUUAAUGGGUGAUGGCGUGCCUUUUGUAGAAUGAACCGGCGAGUUACGAUUUGAUGCAAGGUUAAGCAGUAAAUGUGGAGCCGUAGCGAAAGCGAGUCUGAAUAGGGCGUUUAGUAUUUGGUCGUAGACCCGAAACCAGGUGAUCUACCCUUGGUCAGGUUGAAGUUCAGGUAACACUGAAUGGAGGACCGAACCGACUUACGUUGAAAAGUGAGCGGAUGAACUGAGGGUAGCGGAGAAAUUCCAAUCGAACCUGGAGAUAGCUGGUUCUCUCCGAAAUAGCUUUAGGGCUAGCCUCAAGUGAUGAUUAUUGGAGGUAGAGCACUGUUUGGACGAGGGGCCCCUCUCGGGUUACCGAAUUCAGACAAACUCCGAAUGCCAAUUAAUUUAACUUGGGAGUCAGAACAUGGGUGAUAAGGUCCGUGUUCGAAAGGGAAACAGCCCAGACCACCAGCUAAGGUCCCAAAAUAUAUGUUAAGUGGAAAAGGAUGUGGCGUUGCCCAGACAACUAGGAUGUUGGCUUAGAAGCAGCCAUCAUUUAAAGAGUGCGUAAUAGCUCACUAGUCGAGUGACACUGCGCCGAAAAUGUACCGGGGCUAAACAUAUUACCGAAGCUGUGGAUUGUCCUUUGGACAAUGGUAGGAGAGCGUUCUAAGGGCGUUGAAGCAUGAUCGUAAGGACAUGUGGAGCGCUUAGAAGUGAGAAUGCCGGUGUGAGUAGCGAAAGACGGGUGAGAAUCCCGUCCACCGAUUGACUAAGGUUUCCAGAGGAAGGCUCGUCCGCUCUGGGUUAGUCGGGUCCUAAGCUGAGGCCGACAGGCGUAGGCGAUGGAUAACAGGUUGAUAUUCCUGUACCACCUAUAAUCGUUUUAAUCGAUGGGGGGACGCAGUAGGAUAGGCGAAGCGUGCGAUUGGAUUGCACGUCUAA